rnacentral:rRNA from 1 species
GACGAACGCUGGCGGCGUGCUUAAAAACAUGCAAGUCGAACGGACUUCUCAUGAAGCUUGCGAUUGAGAAGUUAGUGGCGGACGGGUGAGUAACGCGUGGGCAACCUGCCCCUGAGCCCGGGAUAACAGUUCGAAAGGACUGCUAAGACCGGAUAUACUUGCGGUGAAGCAUUUCACUGCAAGGAAAGGGAACGCUCAGGGAUGGGCCCGCGUCCCAUUAGCUAGUUGGUGAGGUAACGGCCCACCAAGGCGACGAUGGGUAGCCGGCCUGAGAGGGUGAACGGCCACACUGGGACUGAGACACGGCCCAGACUCCUACGGGAGGCAGCAGUUGGGAAUCUUCGGCAAUGGGCGCAAGCCUGACCGAGCAACGCCGCGUGAGUGAUGAAGGUUUUCGGAUUGUAAAGCUCUGUCUUCCGGGACGAUAAUGACGGUACCGGAGGAGGAAGCCACGGCUAACUACGUGCCAGCAGCCGCGGUAAGCACGAGAGUA